CUGUUGUUUAAUAUUUCACAGCCUCUGCUCCACGUGACUUAUUCCAUAACAGGCAGCCCGAGUAUUCUCAUGCCUGUUUCUCUGUGCAUAUUCAAGGCCAUCCAAGGACGUGUGCAAGGUGUUCUUCUGGGCCUGUGCAAGCAAUGCCCUAUGGAACCAGAAAAGGAGAAACUGCUGCUACCUGGAGCCAACCCCUGACCUGCAUUUAGCUGUGCGGUAGCACCUCUAAUGACGAAGGAGUGCCGAAGCGGUACGGGGAGCUUCGUUCCUCAAGCAUUCCAGCGAGAGAGACCUUCAACUCCCAAAACACUACUGAACUCUCCACCUGGACCUCUUCUUUCUUCUGGCCAAGGCUCCUUAGUGCUAAAAACAGAAAAGACUGACAAAAGAACAAGAUUCAAGAGAGUCCUAUUCUUUGCGCUGACCCUUCUGAGGAAGGAGGGGAGAGAACAACUGUUAAGUUCUACAAUGCUUUAAGCCUUGUGCUUUGCUCAUUCAACUUUCAUCUCUUGCAUAGUCUCUAUGAGCCAGGUACUUUAUAUAUCUUUACUUUUAAUCCUUAUAACAAUCUUAUAUAGUGCAUGUGGUUCACAGAAUUAUUUCAGAAUCAUCCCCCAAAGGUAUUCACAUCCCAAGCCUCAGAUUCUGUGAGUAAAUUACUUUACAUGGCAAAUGCAAUUUUACAGAUGUGGUUAAAUUAGGGAACUCAAGAUGGGAAGAUACCCUGUAUCAUCCUGGUGGGCCCAAUGCAAUUACAAGGACACUUAUCAAUGAAAGUAGGAGGCAGAUCAGUCACAACGAGAGAAGGAACUUGAACAACAGAUGCCUGGUCAAUAUAAUGGGAUGUAAAAAAGAAUUGACCUGCCAUUACCACCUUUGAAGACAGAAGGAAGCCACAGAAUCUGCAUGACCUCUACAAGCUGGAAAAGCCAAGGAAACAGAAAGAAUGCAGCCUAGGUGCCAUUUUGAAUUUAGCCCCAUGGGACCCUUUUCAGACUUCUGGCCUUUAGAACUCUAAAACAAUACAUUUGUUUGACUCUACCACGGCUGUAAUUUGUUAGAGUAACAAUAAAGGCUUAAUACAGUAGGUAUCUUUGUCUCCAUUUUACAGGCAAGAAAUCGAACUAGCUAGUUUUUUGUAAGCCAGGAUUCAAAUGCAAUUUUCUGUGACUUCAAAGCCCAUACUUUUCUCUGCACUCCAUUUCUGCCCCUUUUAAAUUUUUAUAACUAAUGUCCUUACUGAAAUCAUUAAAUAUUUAAUUGGCACAACAGCUACUUUAGAAAGAAUCACUAAUGGUAUACUUCUGAGUAUCUCUUCUUGCCACAAGUAAUUUGUUUUGAAAAAGGAAAGUAUCAGUUGAAUCUUACCUGGAGAGUUAUAAAAAAGAAAACCAGAAUAUCCAAAUGUCCUUAUAGAAUCACUUUAAUCUAAGGAGGCUAAUAAAAUCAUUUCUUCUCAGU
ensembl:lincRNA uncharacterized LOC102023562